AAUGUCUCUUCAAGCUUUCUUCAUUUUUACCACUUUGGUCGUUGGUGUUUUCGCUGAUACGCCUUACACGACAUGUACCUACCGAACCCUACAAAAUCCCGAUGGGAUAAUAGUUUUGCUCUGUUUCAGGUCCAUCUAAUGUUAACGGUGUCACCGUUAAUCACUUCCAACUGAACGACUGUACUGCAUCGCCUUGCCAAGUCACGAAAGGUUCUACCGUCCAGAUAACCCUAAACGCUACCGCUCUUAUAAUUAUUGGAGCAAAUACGAAUCCUACUAUAUCGCUGACUACAUAUGUUCUCGGCCUUCCGGUAACUGGUCAAACCGAUUUGUGCACCCUGACACCAUGUCCCUUACUGGUAGGCGAUACUCGAGUCAUCGUUGAUUCGGGAACUAUCCCAAGCAGUACUCCAUCGGGAACUUAUACUGUGAAGCUAAGAAUUGUGGAUAAUUCGAACUCCAUCGUUUGUCUCCAAUUCACCGCAUCUCUUUCAUAAUAAUGGAGUUGGUAGCAAAUACACUGACGAUAACGUCCCCAGUAUACAUUUUAUAUUCUUACUUAUCAUAGUGUACGUUUAUUAGA